GGAUUGAUAAAUAAUAAAAAUAAAUAAUAAAUUUUAAAAAAAAUAAAUGUAAAUGAUAAAAAUAAAUUUCAAAUAAUAAACAGAAACUAUGAAUAAUAAACAUAAAAUUUAUAUGAUAAACAAAAAUUAUGAAUAAUAAACAAAAACUGUGAAUAAUAAAUACAAAGUAUGUAUCAAUAUAUAAAAUUUUUUAACAUAAAUACAAACUCGU
rnacentral:lncRNA from 1 species